rnacentral:rRNA from 1 species
UACGUAGGGGGCAAGCGUUGUCCGGAUUCAUUGGGCGUAAAGGGCGCGUAGGCGGCGCUGUAAGUCACUUGUGAAAUCUCCGGGCUUAACUCGGAACGGUCAAGUGAUACUGCAGUGCUAGAGUGCAGAAAGGGCAAUCGGAAUUCUUGGUGUAGCGGUGAAAUGCGUAGAUAUCAAGAGGAACACCUGAGGCGAAGGCGGGUUGCUAGGCUGACACUGACGCUGACAGCGCGAAAGCCAGGGGAGCAAACGGG